AGUGAACGCUGGCGGUAGGCCUAACACAUGCAAGUCGAACGGCAGCACAGUAAGAGCUUGCUCUUACGGGUGGCGAGUGGCGGACGGGUGAGGAAUACAUCGGAAUCUACUUUUUCGUGGGGGAUAACGUAGGGAAACUUCUCCUAUCACCUAAUAUACCUAACGGUUAAAUCCAGGGGUCUUCGGCACUUUUGCUGUUGCAUGUAGCUGUGUCCGAAUUAGCUAGUUGGGGGGGUAAGGGCCCACCAAGCCAACGAUCCGUAGCGGGUCUGAGAGGAUGAUCAGCCACACUGGAACUGAGACACGGUCCAGACUCCUACGGGAGGCAGCAGUGGGGAAUAUUGGACAAUGGGCGAAAGCCUGAUCCAGCCAUACCGCGUGGGUGAAGAAGGCCUUCGGGUUGUAAAGCCCUGUUGUUGGGAAAGAAAAGCAGCAGGUUAAUACCCCGCUGUUCUGACGGUACCCAAAGAAUAAGCACCGGCUAACUUCGUG
rnacentral:rRNA from 1 species